rnacentral:rRNA from 1 species
UGGGGAAUAUUGGACAAUGGGCGCAAGCCUGAUCCAGCCAUGCCGCGUGUGUGAAGAAGGCCUUUUGGAUGUAAAGCACUUUAAGCGAGGAGGAGGCUACUUGGAUUAAUACUCUAAGAUAGUGGACGUUACUCGCAGAAUAAGCACCGGCUAACUCUGUGCCAGCAGCCGCGGUAACACAGAGGGUGCGAGCGUUAAUCGGAUUUACUGGGCGUAAAGCGUGCGUAGGCGGCUUCUUAAGUCGGAUGUGAAAUCCCUGAGCUUAACUUAGGAAUUGCAUUCGAUACUGGGAAGCUAGAGUAUGGGAGAGGAUGGUAGAAUUCCAGGUGUAGCGGUGAAAUGCGUAGAGAUCUGGAGGAAUACCGAUGGCGAAGGCAGCCAUCUGGCCUAAUACUGACGCUGAGGUACGAAAGCAUGGGGAGCAAACAGG